UACAGGGGGUGCAAACGUUGCUCGGAAUUAUUGGGCGUAAAGCGCGCGUAGGCGGCCGCUUAAGUCGGAUGUGAAAGCCCCUGGCUCAACUGGGGAAGUGCACCCGAAACUGAGUGGCUUGAGUACUAAAGAGGGUCGCGGAAUUCCCGGUGUAGAGGUGAAAUUCGUAGAUAUCGGGAGGAACACCGGUGGCGAAGGCGGCGACCUGGGUAGAUACGUGACGGCUGAGGCGCGAAAGCGUGGGGAGCGAACAGG
rnacentral:rRNA from 1 species